rnacentral:rRNA from 1 species
UCAGGAUGAACGCUAGCUACAGGCUUAACACAUGCAAGUCGAGGGGCAGCAUUGGAGUAGCAAUACUCAGAUGGCGACCGGCGCACGGGUGAGUAACACGUAUCCAACCUGCCGCUUACUCGGGGAUAGCCUUUCGAAAGAAAGAUUAAUACCCGAUGGUAUAAAGAGUUCGCAUGUUCUCUUUAUUAAAGAAUUUCGGUAAGCGAUGGGGAUGCGUUCCAUUAGAUUGUUGGCGGGGUAACGGCCCACCAAGUCUACGAUGGAUAGGGGUUCUGAGAGGAAGGUCCCCCACAUUGGAACUGAGACACGGUCCAAACUCCUACGGGAGGCAGCAGUGAGGAAUAUUGGUCAAUGGACGAGAGUCUGAACCAGCCAAGUAGCGUGAAGGAUGACUGCCCUAUGGGUUGUAAACUUCUUUUAUAAGGGAAUAAAGUGAGGGACGUGUCCCUUUUUGUAUGUACCUUUAUGAAUAAGGAUCGGCUAACUCCGUGCCAGCAGCUGC